rnacentral:tRNA from 1 species
GGGGAUUUAGCUCAGCGGCAUAAGCGCCUGCCUGGCAAGCAGGCAGUCGUGAGUUCUAUCCCCG